GAACGCUGGCGGCAUGCCUUACACAUGCAAGUCGAACGGUAGAGGGGCAACCCUCGAGAGUGGCGAACGGGUGAGUAACGCAUCGGAACGUGCCCAGUCGUGGGGGAUAACACUUCGAAAGAAGUGCUAAUACCGCAUACGACCUGAGGGUGAAAGCGGGGGAUCGCAAGACCUCGCGCGAUUGGAGCGGCCGAUGUCAGAUUAGGUAGUUGGUGGGGUAAAGGCCUACCAAGCCGACGAUCUGUAGCUGGUCUGAGAGGACGACCAGCCACACUGGGACUGAGACACGGCCCAUACUCCUACGGGAGGCAGCAGUGGGGAAUUUUGGACAAUGGGCGCAAGCCUGAUCCAGCCAUGCCGCGUGCAGGAAGAAGGCCUUCGGGUUGUAAACUGCUUUUGUCAGGGAAGAAAUCUUCUGGGCUAAUACCCCGGGAGGAUGACGGUACCUGAAGAAUAAGCACCGGCUAACUACGUGCCAGCAGCCGCGGUAAUACGUAGGGUGCAAGCGUUAAUCGGAAUUACUGGGCGUAAAGCGUGCGCAGGCGGUGAUGUAAGACAGAGGUGAAAUCCCCGGGCUCAACCUGGGAACUGCCUUUGUGACUGCAUCGCUGGAGUGCGGCAGACGGGGAUGGAAUUCCGCGUGUAGCAGUGAAAUGCGUAGAUAUGCGGAGGAACACCGAUGGCGAAGGCAAUCCCCUGGGCCUGCACUGACGCUCAUGCACGAAAGCGUGGGGAGCAAACAGGAUUAGAUACCCUGGUAGUCCACGCCCUAAACGAUGUCAACUGGUUGUUGGAGGGUUCCCUUUCAGUAACGAAGCUAACGCGUGAAGUUGACCGC
rnacentral:rRNA from 1 species